rnacentral:rRNA from 1 species
UGGGGAAUAUUGGACAAUGGGGGCAACCCUGAUCCAGCCAUGCCGCGUGAGUGAAGAAGGCCCUCGGGUUGUAAAGCUCUUUUGUCCGGAAAGAAAAGCUUCGGGUUAAUACCCCGGGGUUCUGACGGUACCGGAAGAAUAAGCACCGGCUAACUUCGUGCCAGCAGCCGCGGUAAUACGAAGGGUGCAAGCGUUACUCGGAAUUACUGGGCGUAAAGCGUGCGUAGGUGGUUGUUUAAGUCUGAUGUGAAAGCCCUGGGCUCAACCUGGGAAUGGCAUUGGAAACUGGGCAGCUAGAGUGCGGUAGAGGGUAGUGGAAUUCCCGGUGUAGCAGUGAAAUGCGUAGAGAUCGGGAGGAACAUCUGUGGCGAAGGCGACUGCCUGGACCAGCACUGACACUGAGGCACGAAAGCGUGGGGAGCAAACA